rnacentral:rRNA from 1 species
AGUGAACGCUGGCGGUAGGCCUAACACAUGCAAGUCGAACGGCAGCACAGUAAGAGCUUGCUCUUACGGGUGGCGAGUGGCGGACGGGUGAGGAAUACAUCGGAAUCUACUUUUUCGUGGGGGAUAACGUAGGGAAACUUACGCUAAUACCGCAUACGACCUACGGGUGAAAGCAGGGGAUCUUCGGACCUUGCGCGAUUGAAUGAGCCGAUGUCGGAUUAGCUAGUUGGCGGGGUAAAGGCCCACCAAGGCGACGAUCCGUAGCUGGUCUGAGAGGAUAAUCCGCCACACUGGAACUGAGACACGGUCCAGGCUCCUACGGGAGGCAGCAGUGGGGAAUAUUGGACAAUGGGCGCAAGCCUGAUCCAGCCAUACCGCGUGGGUGAAGAAGGCCUUCGGGUUGUAAAGCCCUUUUGUUGGGAAAGAAAAGCAGCAGGUUAAUACCCCGCUGUUCUGACGGUACCCAAAGAAUAAGCACCGGCUAACUUCGU